GGUCGUCGUGUUACGUCUGUUGUUUACGACGUUAGACAUCGUUGGUUGUAUUGGGCUCAGGGACAAUACCAAUUUCCAACUGAUGUCCAGAAGGCUGGUAUAGAUGCAACCGGAACUACGGGAACUAUUGUCGUAAAAUCAACUGUGUGGACGAUGGAUCUAGACGAAUCUUGCCAUACACUGUACUUUUCUAAUCAAUGGUUUAUUGCUUAUCCCGAACUUCGCAAAGCUGACGUCACUGACGGAGGACCAAAUGCCGCAGUGAUAAAAGGACUAUACGAUCGGAGCACAUAUUACGCGGGCGGCGUUAAAUACGACAAAAUCACCAGACGGGUUUUAUGGACGGAUAGAGUGAAAAUUUGGUCCAGGGACACUGAUUCAUGGAUAGGCAACGACCCCGACACAAGGGAAGAGAUCGUCCACGUUGGGGAAGAAGCCAACAUCCUCGAUAUAGACCUAGAUU